AGCUUUGCCCUGUGGCAGUGUUGGAGCCAGUGAGGUUUAUCUGAGGCACGAUUAUUGCUAAUUACAAACUGUCCUCAAAUGGCCCUGAGACACCAGUUCAAAUAUACCUACCCAUGGGUG
ensembl:snRNA U4 U4 spliceosomal RNA